AGGAUAAUAAUUAAAAUUUAUAAUAUUUAUUUUGCAAAUAAAAAUUAAUACAAAAUAUUUUAUCUUA
rnacentral:tRNA from 1 species